rnacentral:rRNA from 11 species
UUAUGUGGCCUAACUAUCCUAUAGGCACCAGCUCCUGUCUUAUCUCAGAAGCUAAGCAGAAUAAUCUUUGGUUUGUAUUUGUAUGGAAGACCACCAACGAAUACCAGGUGCUGUAGGCU